rnacentral:rRNA from 1 species
UUAAAUUGAAGAGUUUGAUCAUGGCUCAGAUUGAACGCUGGCGGCAGGCCUAACACAUGCAAGUCGAACGGUAACAGGAAGCAGCUUGCUGCUUUGCUGACGAGUGGCGGACGGGUGAGUAAUGUCUGGGAAACUGCCUGAUGGAGGGGGAUAACUACUGGAAACGGUAGCUAAUACCGCAUAACGUCGCAAGACCAAAGAGGGGGACCUUAGGGCCUCUUGCCAUCGGAUGUGCCCAGAUGGGAUUAGCUGGUAGGUGGGGUAACGGCUCACCUAGGCGACGAUCCCUAGCUGGUCUGAGAGGAUGACCAGCCACACUGGAACUGAGACACGGUCCAGACUCCUACGGGAGGCAGCAGUGGGGAAUAUUGCACAAUGGGCGCAAGCCUGAUGCAGCCAUGCCGCGUGUAUGAAGAAGGCCUUCGGGUUGUAAAGUACUUUCAGCGGGGAGGAAGGGAGUAAAGUUAAUACCUUUGCUCAUUGACGUUACCCGCAGAAGAAGCACCGGCUAACUCCGUGCCAGCAGCCGCGGUAAUACGGAGGGUGCAAGCGUUAAUCGGAAUUACUGGGCGUAAAGCGCACGCAGGCGGUUUGUUAAGUCAGAUGUGAAAUCCCCGGGCUCAACCUGGGAACUGCAUCUGAUACUGGCAAGCUUGAGUCUCGUAGAGGGGGGUAGAAUUCCAGGUGUAGCGGUGAAAUGCGUAGAGAUCUGGAGGAAUACCGGUGGCGAAGGCGGCCCCCUGGACGAAGACUGACGCUCAGGUGCGAAAGCGUGGGGAGCAAACAGGAUUAGAUACCCUGGUAGUCCACGCCGUAAACGAUGUCGACUUGGAGGUUGUGCCCUUGAGGCGUGGCUUCCGGAGCUAACGCGUUAAGUCGACCGCCUGGGGAGUACGGCCGCAAGGUUAAAACUCAAAUGAAUUGACGGGGGCCCGCACAAGCGGUGGAGCAUGUGGUUUAAUUCGAUGCAACGCGAAGAACCUUACCUGGUCUUGACAUCCACGGAAGUUUUCAGAGAUGAGAAUGUGCCUUCGGGAACCGUGAGACAGGUGCUGCAUGGCUGUCGUCAGCUCGUGUUGUGAAAUGUUGGGUUAAGUCCCGCAACGAGCGCAACCCUUAUCCUUUGUUGCCAGCGGUCCGGCCGGGAACUCAAAGGAGACUGCCAGUGAUAAACUGGAGGAAGGUGGGGAUGACGUCAAGUCAUCAUGGCCCUUACGACCAGGGCUACACACGUGCUACAAUGGCGCAUACAAAGAGAAGCGACCUCGCGAGAGCAAGCGGACCUCAUAAAGUGCGUCGUAGUCCGGAUUGGAGUCUGCAACUCGACUCCAUGAAGUCGGAAUCGCUAGUAAUCGUGGAUCAGAAUGCCACGGUGAAUACGUUCCCGGGCCUUGUACACACCGCCCGUCACACCAUGGGAGUGGGUUGCAAAAGAAGUAGGUAGCUUAACCUUCGGGAGGGCGCUUACCACUUUGUGAUUCAUGACUGGGGUGAAGUCGUAACAAGGUAACCGUAGGGGAACCUGCGGUUGGAUCACCUCCUUACCUUAAAGAAGC